UGGGGAAUAUUGCGCAAUGGGGGGAACCCUGACGCAGCCAUGNNGCGUGAAUGAAGAAGGCCUUCGGGUUGUAAAGUUCUUUCGGUAUUGAGGAAGGUUGAUGUGUUAAUAGCACAUCAAAUUGACGUUAAAUACAGAAGAAGCACCGGCUAACUCCGUGCCAGCAGCCGCGGUAAUACGGAGGGUGCGAGCGUUAAUCGGAAUAACUGGGCGUAAAGGGCAAGUAGGCGGUUAUUUAAGUGAGGUGUGAAAGCCCCGGGCUUAACCUGGGAAUUGCAUUUCAGACUGGGUAACUAGAGUACUUUAGGGAGGGGUAGAAUUCCACGUGUAGCGGUGAAAUGCGUAGAGAUGUGGAGGAAUACCGAAGGCGAAGNNAGCCCCUUGGGAAUGUACUGACGCUCAUGUGCGAAAGCGUGGGGAGCAAACAGGAUUAGAUACCCUGGUAGUCCACGCUGUAAACGCUGUCGAUUUGGGGGUUGGGGUUUAACUCUGGCGCCCGUAGCUAACGUGAUAAAUCGACCGCCUGGGGAGUACGGCCGCAAGNUUA
rnacentral:rRNA from 1 species